rnacentral:lncRNA from 1 species
AAUGCUGACCAAUGAAGUCUCGGAGGAGGAAGUGAAAAAAGUUUUGUUUGCGAUGCCAACAAAUAAAUCUCCAGGCCCUGAUGGUUUCACUUGUGAAUUUUUUAAAGAUUCAUGGUCGAUUAUUGGAAAAGACUUUGUGGUAGCAAUUCAGUCUUUUUUUAGGACAGGCUUUCUGCCCAAGGGAGUGAACUCAACCAUUCUAGCACUAAUACCGAAGAAAAAAGAUGCAGUGGUGAUGAAGGAUUAUAGGCCGAUAUCUUGUUGCAAUGUGCUCUACAAAGUCAUCUCUAAGAUACUGGCGAACAGGCUGAAAACUCUUCUCCCCAAGUUUACUGCACCGAAUCAAUCCGCAUUUGUCAAAGACAGACUUCUCAUGGAAAACCUCCUGUUAGCCACAGAAAUCAUCAAGGACUAUCAUAAGGAUUCAGUAUCUCCACGAUGUGCAAUGAAAAUUGAUAUUUCUAAAGCUUUUGACUCAGUGCAAUGGAGCUUCUUACUCAAUACAUUGCGGGCACUUGAUUUUCCAGACCAAUUUGUUCGCUGGAUUCAAACGUGUAUCUCUACAGCAUCAUUCUCUGUGCAAGUUAAUGGCGAACUGGCCGGCUAUUUUGGAAGUGAGCGUGGCCUGCGUCAAGGAUGCUCUCUGAGCCCUUAUCUGUUUGUGAUUUGUAUGAACGUGCUCUCUCUCAAAAUCGACAAAGCUGCAAAUGACAAGAAAAUUGGGUAUCAUCCAAACUGUAAGCACUUGAAACUUACUCACCUCUGUUUUGCAGAUGAUCUGAUGGUUUUUGUUGAAGGAACAAAGAAAUCAAUCAAAGCAGCACUUGAGGUUUUUGAGGACUUUGCAACUCACUCAGGACUCAAAAUUAGCCUUGAAAAAUCGACAUUGUAUAUGGCAGGCGUUUCAACAGAAGUGAAAACAGAAAUUUUGCAGCAAUUCCCAUUUGAGUAUGGAUUCUUACCAGUUCGAUACUUGGGCCUACCACUAUUAACAAGAAGAAUGACUUCUGCAGAUUAUUCUCCUCUCUUGGAAAAAAUAAGAUCACAAAUUAGCUCCUGGACAGCUAGGACACUCUCCUUCGCUGGAAGACUGCAGCUGCUCCGCUCAGUCACCUUCAGCCUCACGAAUUUUUGGAUUGCCGCUUUUAGACUCCUUAAAGCUUGCAUUCAAGAAAUCGACAAGAUAUGUUCAGCUUUUUUGUGGUCAGGCCCUUCUCUUAAUAACAAAAGAGCAAAAGUGGCGUGGACUGAGGUAUGCACACCAAAGAGUGAAGGUGGUUUGGGUUUGAGAUCAUUGGAGGAAGCGAACAGAGUAAGCAUGUUAAAACUGAUCUGGCGCUUGUUGUCUGCAAGGGGCUCCUUAUGGGUGGACUGGGUUCACAAGUAUCUAAUCCGAAAUGGUUCUUUCUGGGCUGUGAAAGAGACCACCUCUUGCGGCUCAUGGAUAUGGAGAAAGUUGCUGAAGUAUCGUGAUCUCGCAAAACAAUUUCAUAGAGUGGAAGUUAAGAAUGGUGACACUACAUCUUUUUGGCACGACACAUGGUCUGACCUUGGAUGUCUUAAGGAGAAGCUAGGGGAGCGAGGCUGCAUUGACUUGGGGAUCCCUCUAUCUAGCACAGUGAGAGAAGUGAUGGCAAUGUCUAGAAGGAGAAAACAUCGCCAGGCAGCGCUAAACAGUGUUGAAGAAGCAAUUAAAAACGCAAGAAUGCAGCUGAGAGGAAAUGAGGUAGAUGUGGCCCUAUGGAAAGGGAAAAACAGUAGCUAUUGUAAAAGUUUCUCGACCAAAGAAACAUGGGCGCAGAUCCGCACUUCGAAACCAAUGAUGGAGGGAUUCAAAGAGAUAUGGUUCAAAGCUGCAACUCCAAAAUAUGCUUUUAUCACAUGGCUAGUGGUUAAAAACAGAGUAGCAACAGGGGAGAGAAUGUUGACUUGGAAGCAGAAUGCAAACUCAAGUUGUGUGUUCUGUGGGGUACCUAUAGAAACAAGAGAGCAUCUGUUUUUCAUGUGCCCGUACUCGAAGACAAUUUGGAAAGAAUUGGUUCUGGGGCUACUGUUGGAUAAGUUCUCGGAACAUUGGCAAGAGAUCAUGAAGAUUAUUAAAGGGGAGGGCUUUGACAAGACAAAGACUUUCUUGCUAAGGUACACGUUUCAAAACUCUAUUCACUCAAUAUGGAAUGAGAGGAAUAGAAGGAGACACGGUGAACAGCCUUUACCAACAGAGAUACUCGUCAAGUUAAUUGAUAAAAAUGUCCGUAAUCGGUUGAGCACAAUGGAAGGGAGAGGAGCCUCAAGCGGACUCCAAACUUGGUUUGCAUCAAGGAUCUAGAGAAGACUUUGUUUGCUUUUUAAUGU